ACCUACGGGGGGCAGCAGUGAGGAAUAUUGGUCAAUGGGCGCGAGCCUGAACCAGCCAAGUCGCGUGAGGGAGGACGGCCCUACGGGUUGUAAACCUCUUUUGCCGGGGAGCAACGGGCGUCACGUGUGGCGCCACUGAGAGUACCCGGAGAAAAAGCAUCGGCUAACUCCGUGCCAGCAGCCGCGGUAAUACGUAGGGGGCAAGCGUUAUCCGGAUUUACUGGGUGUAAAGGGAGCGUAGACGGCAGCGCAAGUCUGGAGUGAAAUGCCGGGGCCCAACCCCGGAACUGCUCUGGAAACUGGGA
rnacentral:rRNA from 1 species